rnacentral:tRNA from 1 species
GGGGGCGUAGCUCAGUGGUAGAGCGCUCGCUUCGCAUGCGAGAGGACCCGGGAUCAAUCCCCGGCGCCUCCA